rnacentral:lncRNA from 1 species
CCGGUCUUUUUUAGAAGUCAAAUAUUAAGAAUAUUGACAUUUCAAGUGAUUUCAAAAAAAAUACUGGAGUUAAAUUCUAGAAAAAACUUCAAAAACCUUACCUGUGGUUUCGUAGUUUCUCACUUUGCCCCCUUGUGGUUUAAAAUGUAUCAAAUUGCCCCCCUGUGGUUUUAUUUUUAUCUUUUCGGUAGUUUUUUCGUUAAUAUUUCAUUAAAUUAUAUACAAAAAACUUCAGAUACCCAUCUAGAUUUAUCAAAUAUUCACUUUAGUACCCUUUAAUUUUAACUUUAUCACUGAUUUAAGCAAAAAAAAUAAUGAAAUUGAUAAGAAAAAAAAAAAAAAGAAACCACAGGGGGGCAAACUGAUACAUUUUAAACCACAGGGGGGCAAAGUGAGAAACUACGAAAUCACAUGGAGGUUUUUUGAAGUUUUUCCUAAAUUCUAUUAGUAAACUAUUAAAAAUAAUCGUUAUUUUUGUUAAAUUACUAUUUUUCUCUCUUAAAUAUAUUUUUUUUAUCGUCAUCAACACUUUUAAUUUGCCGUUAAGUUAGAGGUAUUUUGACUUCUUUUAAUGAAUUGAGCUUCUAUACUUUUAAAAGUACCAAGUUAUUGGUGCUUAUAGAUUUUUGGCCAUUGGAUUAAGAAAUGUGCGGUUAGGAUAAUGUGGGUCCUCUAGGGUUGAGUGGGUGGUUGGUUGAAUAGUAUAAUCUAACAGUUGAAAAUAAUCAAAAGUGUAGAUCUAACGGUAAAAAACUUACAAGCACCAAGUGCUUGGUGCUUUUACAAGCACCAUAGCCGGACUCUCUUUUAAUUAUGUAGAAACUUAAUCCAGGUUUAAUCCGAGAUUACUUAAUAUUUAUUAACAGCAGAAUUAUUUUUGAAUAAUGGAGAAAUAUAUGAUAGAUGUGUAUGAAACAAAAAAAAAGUAGGGUAUAUAAAAUAUUUCAAAUAUUUUGAGACGUAUAUUAGAUAUUAUUCC